CGCCGACACCGUUCGGGAGCCCUCGCGCGCGGCUGCUUUCACGCGGCCGUGAUGCCAUGCCGCUCCUGCGCCUGCCAGGGCUACCCCGGCCACAGCCGCUGCGAGAGGGCCGCGAGUCGGCACAGCUCGUCGGCCGGCCGCGAGCCCGCGCCGCAGCCUUCCGCCCCAGGCCGCCAGCCAAGCGCUUCUUCCCGCAGCCGCCGCCAUCUUUGCGGAAGCGCCCGAGCGUCGCGCCCCGCCCUCACCGUCUGUUGCCCGAGAACAGAGUUGGGCUCUCGCGAGAGCUCAUCACCCUCCACCGUGCUCUGCGCGUGUGUUGCUAGGUGUGGCUGCUUCCUCGACGUUCAAGCGUGGUUUUGAGGUGACCCUCGGCUCCGGUGACAGUUUCCAAGGCAAAGGACAUGAGUUAGCUGGUUAACUGUCCUAACAGAUCUGACUGAGGACUGGAGAGAGAGCUAAGUGAUGAAGAGCACUGGACACUUUUGCAAAGGACCUGGGUUCAAUUUGCAGCACCUGCAUGAUGGCUCACACAAUUCUAUCAUGGCAGUCCUUCUGACCUCUGCAGGCACAGCAUACAUGUGGUACCCAGACAUACAUACAAGCAAAACACCCAUAAGCAAAAAUACACCCCCAAGUUAAAAAUAUGACACAUUCCUAAAGGCAGUUCCACUGUCUGAGUCUCCUGAAUACUGGCAGUACAGACUUGUGCCACCAUGCUCAAUGCCAUUACCAGCUUAAAUGACCAUGGCUGUACAUGUGGCCUCUGAAGUCCGAAGUGUUUUCCUGCUGCACAUGGCCCUCUUGGAAAGAGUUGUCAGCCCUCUUGACCGUGAGCACCUCGGACUGUGGCCUUGUGUCCUCUCACAGCCCUGAGGCUGACCUCUGCAGCGCACACUUUUCACCCCAUGCCUGUCUGCUGCCUGCCCAGGCCACAUUGACUUUUCUCACCAGUGACUUUCUGUAAAUUAUCUUCCUAACUCCUGACAGCUGGUAAUGUAACUUCCUAUGAAUUGCUGGUCCUGAACAGAGAAACCAACCAGUUCUAACUGAGGAGGGCAUUGUACUUGUGUAACAUCUUACAAGAAACUAUGAAGUCAAGUGUUGCUUUGAUCUUAGCAUGCUCGGGAUGAAUAAAGAUUAUGAUCGGAUUCUGC
rnacentral:lncRNA from 1 species